GAUGAACGCUGGCGGCGUGCCUAAUACAUGCAAGUCGAGCGAAGCGGGGACGGGGGAGUAAAAUGUGGAUAACACCCUAUAUGACUGGGAUAAAUUACGGAAACCGGUGCCAAUACGGAAACUUAUCGAUGGAUCCGCGCUGCAUUAGCUAGUUGGUAAGGUAACGGCUUACCAAGGCAACGAUGCAUAGCCGACCUGAGAGGGGGAUCGGCCACACUGGAACUGAGACACGGUCCAGACUCCUACGGGAGGCAGCAGUAGGGAAUAUUCCGCAAUGGGCGAAAGCCUGACGGAGCAACGCCGCGUGUGUGAUGAAGGUCUUCGGAUCGUAAAACUCUGUUAGUAGGGAAGCGGUACCUAAUCAGAAAGCCACGGCUAACUACGUGCCAGCAGCCGCGGUAAUUC
rnacentral:rRNA from 1 species